UAAGGAAUAUUGGUCAAUGGGCGCAAGCCUGAACCAGCCAUGCCGCGUGCAGGAAGACGGCCCUAUGGGUUGUAAACUGCUUUUGUCAGGGAAUAAACCUGUCUACGUGUAGGCAGCUGAAGGUACCUGAAGAAUAAGCAUCGGCUAACUCCGUGCCAGCAGCCGCGGUAAUACGGAGGAUGCAAGCGUUAUCCGGAUUCAUUGGGUUUAAAGGGUGCGCAGGCGGAUUGGUAAGUCAGGGGUGAAAUCCCACAGCUCAACUGUGGAACUGCCUUUGAUACUGUCAGUCUAGAGUAUAGUUGAAGUGGGCGGAAUGUGUCAUGUAGCGGUGAAAUGCUUAGAUGUGACACAGAACACCGAUCGCGAAGGCAGCUCGCUAAGCUAUAACUGACGCUCAUGCACGAAAGCGUGGGGAUCAAACA
rnacentral:rRNA from 1 species